rnacentral:piRNA from 1 species
UGAACUAAAAGACACAUAGGUCAGGGG